CCUACGGGGUGCAGCAGUGGGGAAUAUUGGGCAAUGGGCGCAAGCCUUACCCAGCAAUACCGCGUGAGUGAAGAAGGUCUUCGGAUUGUAAAGCUCUUUGAUCAGGGACGAACAGAUGACGGUACCUGAAGAACAAGCGCCGGCUAACUACGUGCCAGCAGCCGCGGUAAAACGUAGGGGGCGAGCGUUGUCCGGAAUGACUGGGCGUAAAGGGUGCGUAGGCGGCAUAAGAAGUGAGAAGUGAAAUACCCAGAGAUUAACUCGGGUGCUGCUUCUAAGAAUGGUGAGCUUGAGUGCGAGAGAGGUUAGUGGAAUGCCUGGUGUAGCGGUGGAAUGCGUAGAUAUUAGGAGGAACCCCAGAGGCGAAGGCGAUUAACUGGACCCUAACUGACGCUGAGGCACGAAAGUGUGGGUAGCAAACAGGAUUAGAUACCCCGGUAGUC
rnacentral:rRNA from 1 species